rnacentral:rRNA from 1 species
GACGAACGCUGGCGGCGUGCCUAAUACAUGCAAGUCGAACGCAGUGGGGACGGGUGAGUAACACGUGGGUAACCUCCCAUCAGAGGGGAUAACACUUGGAAACAGGUGCUAAACCGAUACUGAUGGACGGACCUGCGGUGCAUUAGCUAGUUGGUGAGGUAACGGCUCACCAAGGCCACGAUGCACAGCGGACCUGGGAGGGUGAGCGGCCACACUGGAACGGAGGAACGGCCCGGACUCCAACGGGAGGCAGCAGUGGGGAAUCUUCGGCAAGGGACGAAAGUCUGACCAGGCAACGCGGGGUGGUUGAAGAGGGUUUUCGGAUCGUAAGACUCGGUUGUUAGGGAAGCGGUAUCUAACCAGAAAGCCACGGCUAACUACGUGCCAGCAGCCGCGGUAAUUC